rnacentral:rRNA from 1 species
GAGUUUGAUCCUGGCUCAGGACGAACGCUGGCGGCGUGCCUAACACAUGCAAGUCGAACGGAGAAUUAGCAAUAAUUCUUAGUGGCGAACGGGUGAGUAACGCGUAGACAACCUACCCUUUAGAUGGGGACAACACCGCGAAAGUGGUGCUAAUACCGAAUAUUGCUUGAGAAGCGCAUGCUUCUCAAACUAAAGAUGGCCUCUAUAUAUAAGCUAUCGCUAAAGAAUGGGUCUGCGUCUGAUUAGCUAGUUGGUGAGAUAAAAGCUCACCAAGGCAACGAUCAGUAGCCGGUCUGAGAGGAUGAACGGCCACACUGGGACUGAGACACGGCCCAGACUCCUACGGGAGGCAGCAGUGGGGAAUCUUCCGCAAUGGACGAAAGUCUGACGGAGCAACGCCGCGUGAGUGAUGAAGGUUUUCGGAUCGUAAAACUCUGUUGUUAAGGACGAAUGUAUAGAUUGUGAAUAAUGGUUUAUAAUGACGGUACUUAACGAGGAAGCCACGGCUAACUACGUGCCAGCAGCCGCGGUAAUACGUAGGUGGCAAGCGUUGUCCGGAAUUAUUGGGCGUAAAGGGAGCGCAGGUGGGAAUGUAAGUCAAUCUUAAAAGUGCGGGGCUCAACCCCGUGAUGGGAUAGAAACUACAUUUCUUGAGUGCAGGAGAGGAAAGUGGAAUUCCUAGUGUAGCGGUGAAAUGCGUAGAUAUUAGGAGGAACACCAGUGGCGAAGGCGACUUUCUGGACUGUUACUGACACUGAGGCUCGAAAGCUAGGGGAGCGAACGGGAUUAGAUACCCCGGUAGUCCUAGCCGUAAACGAUGGGUACUAGGUGUAGAGGGUAUCGACCCCUUCUGUGCCGGAGUUAACGCAAUAAGUACCCCGCCUGGGGAGUACGGCCGCAGGUUGAAACUCAAAGGAAUUGACGG